rnacentral:pre_miRNA from 1 species
UUGUCUUUCCCUUUGGUUAUCUGGCUGUAUGAGUGAGCCAUAACAUCAUAAAGCUAGGUUACCAAAGCUAAGCACAAU